rnacentral:tRNA from 1 species
GAGGGGAUAGCUCAGUGGUAGAGUGCAUGCUUAGCAUGCACGAGGUCCUGGGUUCAAUCUCCAGUACCUCCA